UACAGAGAGUGCGAACGUUGUUCGGAAUUACUGGGCUUAAAGCGCACGUAGGCGGCGCCGCAAGUGCGGGGUGAAAUCCCACGGCUUACCCGUGGAACUGCCUUGCAGACUGUGGUGCUAGAGGAUGGUAGGGGAGAGCGGAACUCCUGGUGGAGCGGUGAAAUGCGUAGAUAUCACUUGGAACGCCAAUGGUGAAGACAGCUCGCUGGGGGUGUCCUGACGCUGAGGCGCGAAAGCCAGGGGAGCGAACGGG
rnacentral:rRNA from 1 species